rnacentral:rRNA from 1 species
UACGUAGGGGGCAAGCGUUGUCCGGAAUUAUUGGGCGUAAAGCGCGUGUAGGCGGCCAGAAAAGUCCGCUGUGAAAACUCGAGGCUCAACUUCGAGCUGUCGGUGGAAACUUUCUGGCUAGAGUCCGGAAGAGGAGAAUGAAUUCCUGGUGUAGCGGUGAAAUGCGCAGAUAUCAGGAAGAACACCCGUGGCGAAGGCGGUUCUCUGGGACGGUACUGACGCUGAGACGCGAAAGCGUGGGGAGCGAACAGG